GACGAACCGUGCGAACGUUGUUCGGAUUCACUGGGCUUAAAGGGCGCGUAGGCGGCUUGCCAAGUCAGGGGUGAAAUCUUUCGGCUCAACCGGAAAAGUGCUUCUGAUACUGGCGGGCUGGAGGGAGGUAGGGGCAGAUGGAACUUCCGGUGGAGCGGUGAAAUGCGUAGAGAUUGGAAAGAACACCGAUGGCGAAGGCACUUUACUGGGCUAUUACUAACACUCAGAGACGAAAGCUAGGGUAGCAAAUGGG
rnacentral:rRNA from 1 species